CACUCAGUGAGAAAAUAUUUGUUUGUCUAAUUCCUCUUGUCAGACUGAGCUCCUCCAGGUUGAAACUGGAUCUUAUUCAUCUUUGUGUGGCACUCCCUAGAGACUAUUUAGGAUGAACCAUAUGGCAUUGCAUUUUUGUAGAUCAAAAACAGUCUAAUACUGGCAAUGCCAUAUGAGUCAACCUAACUGUUAGAUAAAGAGACCUAAGGGUCAUAUUCACUCAAUUAACUUUAACCUGUUCCCUCCUAACACUUUCUUCCCACCUCUAGCACCUGGUCAGAGGGUUAGACUUCCCUUUCACUGUCUGACCUUUUAGAUUCAUGCUUCUCUCUUUGAAGACUGACUUUGGUGUUCCCUUGAGCUUGAAAAUGUCUGGAUACUAAGCACAUGCUAUACUAGUGUCUCCUUGUGAUAAAAGGCCUCAUUAUGACCCAAAUUUCAAUUCCCAUUUCAUUUGAUGGACCUAAUAGGCUCCAGUUAAACAAAAUAGAUAUUUUUCAUUAGGGUGUUACAUAAAUUUUUUUCAUUCUCCCUUGCUCCCCAUUGCUCCCCUCUUUCCUUCUGUUUUCUCUUCCCCUUCUUUCCUCCCUUUCUCCCUCUCUCCUUUAACUCUUUUGUCUAUCCUUUUUUCCUCUCUUUCAUCCUUUCUUCCUUCUUUCCUCUUUUUCUUCUGUGUCAGGUAAUCCUUUACACUGGAGAGAAGAUACACCUGAAUGGACCAAUGGGAACAGCAAGGCUUAUAUCCCGAGUUCCCAGAGAGGACACCUGGAUUUUACAUAUUUCCUUCAGCACUUUAUGAUGCUGAGCAUCACACAGAAGCUAUGUUGAAUGGGAUUUAUGUGAAUUAAGCAGCUCUCAAGUUGAGGGUUCGGGAAAGCAACAAGAUUUCCCAGCUUUACUCCAAGAGUGUGGGCUUUUGUUCUUUUUGCUCUCUGACACACGUCAGCCACGGCCUACCAGGAUCUUUUCUCCCAAAACACUGAAUGUAACUUAAGGAGGCACUGCGCCUGUUUUCCUCAGUACCCCAGGCUGACAUUUCAAAAAGUACUUCUCAUCAUGCUUCUGCAGAAGGUCUGAAAAAGCAUUUGGGGCCUUAACAAAAUCAUCAGAUUGUCAGCAUGGAUGGUGGGAAUGGGUCAUUUCUUUUCCCUUUCCAACAACAGAGCAAGAAACCAACUGCCUUUGCACAUCAAACAAGCAGAAUCAAGUCUGAAGUUCAUCUCUUCACAGGAUUUGACAGGUCAGUUUGGUAAUCCAUGGUCAUAAAUGCUAUUAGAAUUCAUUGCAAACCACAAGAAAUGGCUGGUGUGAUCCAGGCCUCAUCUCACGGCAAAAGUCAGGCAAAGGCAAAUUCAGACCCCUUCGUCUUCAUGUGCCAGGGGGUGGGGGUUGGCAACCCAUGUGGGGUUUUCAGGGCAUUGGAUGGCCCUGCCCCACAGAAGAACUCUUCUCGUCUGUGAACCAUCUAUUCCCAUCAAUGUUAUGAUUAUGGCACAAUUCAUGUUUGGAGUCUUAUGAUUUAUUUCCUUCUCAGUGAAAAUGAGCUUAUUAGACCCUCUCCUCAGGAGAAGGAGGAAGCAAAGACCAUUGGGCAGGAAGAAUGGGAAACAAAAUCAUUAGGAAACAAGGUGCUGAGAUCGGAGACAAACUUUGACACCUGACACUUUUGCAUAAGAUCUGCCCCGGCACAAAUCUGCAUGUUGAGGUUAGCCAAUGUGAGUUAAGCAAGGACAAACAGGGCAAGAAUUACUCGCCCUUUUGUUAUUUCUGAAACCUGAACUGCUUUUAGAAAUAAAGGCUGGAAUGUUCCAUAGGAACUCAGAGCAUGGGACACAGGGGCAUGGCACACACUCCGUGUGGGCUAUUUAAAACCAGUUCCUUGGCUUCCCUCUGUGAUUCUAAAUACGUGUAAUCACAUUACCCCGCAGCAGCCGGUAACUAUUCCUAUACCACUGUCCAGCAUCUGCGCUUGUGAGACUGGUCCAUCACUGUAAAAAAAAAAAAAAAAAAAAAAAACAAACAAACCAAGUAGACGUGUUCUAACUGAUUGGGUGUUGCUCAAGCCAGGUUUUCUGUCACAGCUAACAUCUACUUACUGUUGGAAUAUUAGUAUGUAUUGACUGAUGCCUCUUCUUGAAUUUUAAGGACUCAUCUAUUUAACUAUCCUGGGGAGAAAGAAGUGCCUUAGCUCCUGAAAAGGAUGCCUUUUAAACGAGCCAUUUGUUUAUUUAAUAAGUGGACAACAUAAGCACAGUUAUCACUUUUCCAGAUACAACCAAUUUUUAUGCUGCGGAAGGAUCCCAGCAUUGGAGACUUUGCCUCUUUAUGUGCUAAAGACUCUUUUUUUGGAUUUGUUUGAUGUGCUAACAAUUCCCCUAAUCAUACCACUAGACCUCAAUAAGAUCAAUCCCUUAAGAAUAUUCUACUCAACUGUAUAUCACCCCCAGACAUUAGCUAGUAGAAAGACAUUAGCCAACAUUGUUACAUAAUGUCUGGACACCUGGUCAGGUUUAUGAUUUCAAUGAAAUAGGCCAGUUUUGGAAUUUCAUACAGAUAAAACAACAGAUUAAUGGACUCAAUAGAAUUUGUUUUUAGCUUUUCAACUUUACGUACAAAUUAAAAACCUAUCUUUCAUAAAAUGUGUAACCAUUUGUCAUACCUGACACCAAGCAUUUUAUCUACUUAAAUCUUAUUUAUCUCUGAAAACAACCCUUCAAUGUACUAUCACCUCCAUUUUACAGAUGAGGAGACUGAGGCUCAGAGGGACUUAGUCAUUUGCACAAGUUUUUAUGUCUAGUUUCUAGUGAGUGGUGAGGAUAGAUUUACACAGGUCUCUCCAAUUUCAAACCAUGCUGUAUGUCUCUGUAUAUAUAACCUCGAACAGCCAAAAUGGCCAAUUAGGGCAAAAAAACAAAAACAAAAACAAAACAAACUACAACCAACCAAAAAACCCCAAACAAAAAAUAAGCAAGUAAGAAACUUGGGUCCUGAAUCAUGCAGUUCAGAUAAUGAAAGCUCAGUUGAUCAACAAUUGGCUAAUUUCCUCCUGGAACCAUGUCACUACAACUCUAAUCUGUCGCCUGACACCUGAGUCCUGGAGGGGGGAACUUCUUGACCCUCACGUGGUCCAGCUCUAAGAACUAGCACUCCAAUGGCCAAACAUUACACAUCAGAACAAAUUAUACAUGUGAUAUUGUGCCUGUGGAGAAAUCCGAUUUCUUAGUUAAAUAUUGUUUUUUGACUAUUUUGAGACAUAGCUGGAAUAUGUGGUUCCCUCGUGGCUAACUCAAAACACACAGCAAAGACUAAUCCUUUGCACUAUCCUAUAUUAAUAUUUUCUUUCCCUCCUUGUAAGGGGACCAGUUAUAAAUUAUGGGAGAUCAGAAAACAGCCUCACGAGAGUUAAUAUAUUAAGGAGUUACCUAGAAAGAACCCGGAUUUGUUUUUCCCCACAUGGUAAAUCAUACAGAGUAGCAGCCUGCCCCAGAUCCCCGGGAGACAACAUCUUGAGCGCAUAUGUUAUGCAGGGUUCUGUAUCGACUAAUUCAAAAACUCCAGGGCAAAAUAAGCAAAGUUCCCAAGUCAAAAAUGAAAGUAAAAUAGUGGCAUGGAAUGGGGAUCAUUGUUGCAAACAUUCCAACAACUUCAUAAAUAGCCAUUAAAGUAGACAGCAUUACAGGUUAGCAAAUUUACCAUUGCAAGAAUCAACCUGCACUGUCCGUGUCAAGUCGCAAACAAACCCAGCUACCUCUGACUUUACUAAUCAUCUUUUUCUUUCCAGAAAUACAAUCACAUUUGACAAAAUUAAUAUUGAGAUCGUUUUACUAGAGGGCUUAUCCAAAUAUAUGCUAUAUUAAAAAUAGUCAUGAUAUAAAUAUUUCUCACAAGAGCUGCAGCGAUGGUGUGAAUAAAAAACUCCCUUCUGAGAUUUCAGUAAAACCAGAUCUCACAAAGGAUCUGAAAGAAAACAAACAAAAAACAAACAGACGUACACAAAGAGACACACACACAGAACAAACCUUAUGUUAAUCUGGUUUAGCAAAACAGUCACUAUUUCGACACUAUUUUAUGAAGUACGAUACUGUUCCUUCCCAGAUGAAGUAGGAGAGAUGAAUCUGCUACAGGUUUCUCAUAAUAAUGGUCAGGGGUGGGGGGCAUCUAAGCAUGUUCCAUAGCAGCUAAUCAAAAUCCAAAUUUCCAAAUGCAGCAAAAUGUUAGCACUGUCAAAUGGCCAAGCACGCAAGAGGAAUCUCUCUCUCCAUGCCCUCCUACUGAUACAUACAAAGCCCCAAAUACAUCAGCUGGAAUUUUUAAAUCGUAAAUUAGAUAUCAAAAUGCUUACGGGCCUUACAAUGAGAUAACAUCAGGAGGAACGGUGCGUGGAAUGGAUCUGGCAUUCUCACAUAAAGCAUUAUCUUUGGUACAAGUACACACGGCAGGGCAUUUUGGCUUCGCUGGUUUCUUCCCCUCAGUCAGCAAAAGCGCAGAUAAGAGACAUAGGAAAUAAGCAAUUCUUUUCAGGGGGAUGCAGGCAUUUCCCAUCCUUUGGCUUCUCUCUGAUUCCAUGCAGUCGAAAAAAUAUCCCCGAACAUGAACAGGGCUUCUGGAAUUCAGCUGGUGAUUGUCUUGCUCUGAGACCAGGUCACACAGGAGUCCACCCUUUUCCUCUGCCUCUGUAUCUCUGCUUUUCAAAACGGGGACCUGCAGCUGAUUCGUGAGCUGCUCUUGGCUCCAGCAACGCACUGCUCGGGAAGAGACCUGUGAGGUGCUGGCGAUGGGAGGGACCCAAGUGCUGGAGGAGAGAGCCGACUUGCAUCACCACGAGAACGCGGCGCGCAGACCAGCCUUCGAAGGCAAACAUUUGGCUAAAACCUUGGUAUUUCGUGCUGAAUCCACCUGAUCGGUGCCAUCGUUGAAAGACAAAUAGGAGCACAUGGAGAAGGGGACUUGCAGGGAAUGAAUGCUGUAAGCUUCUGGAGGAUAGAGACCCUGAAGUGAAUCCAGUGCCUGGAUGGCGUGGUGCACACAGUGGGCAAACAGUGUGCCUUGUAGAGCAACAAUGGAGCCUGUAGGCUAUUCGUGACCAGAACUUGCUCAUCCAAAGAAACUUCACAUCACAUCUCCCAGUUAGAAUACAGGACUUUGAUUUCAUCAAGGGGGUCAGAGGACAGUUCUCUGAAGUGAUGAUUGAGCUGAGUUCUCAGAUAAAGGGAAAUGAAAGAGAGAGCAGGAACCUUCCAGGUGGGGCAAAUAGACACACAAGGGCCUGGCCUCAACCCUGAGGACAGUGUUUUAGGCAAUGAGUGAUAUAAUCUGUUGUAUUUUGACAAAAAAGGAAAAAAACCUCAAUCUAAGAGAAGUAAUGAUUUUAGAAUAAGUUCUACUAAUGUUUCACUGCCAGAGUCUUUGUGGAGAGAGGAUUGAUAGUGUUUUUAUUUUUAUUUAAAUUUUUAUUUAUUUAUGAUAGUCAGAGAGAGAGGGAGGGGUAGAGACACAGGCAGAGGGAGAAGCAGGCUCCAUGCACCGGGAGCCCGAUGUGGGAUUCGAUCCCGGGUCUCCAGGAUCGGGCCCUGGGCCAAAGGCAGGCGCCCAACCGCUGCGCCACCCAGGGAUCUCCUGAUAGUGUUUUUAGAAACCGUGACCCACAGGCAAGCCCCACUUGAAAUGGUAAAAGUGUCACUUAAAAGUGGGCUGCAAGCCAGAUUUCUGUAAAUUGAAUCCCGUUUCAAGUGCACAGUGGAAACUUGCUCCAUAAAAUAAUUACGUGGUAAAAAUUUUAUAGAGGAUUGUUUUUAUUCUAACCAUCCAUUCCCUAACUUACCUGACUUUUAAAUGAUGCAUUUUGUACGUAUAAAAUAAAGAUCCCAAGAACUUUCGGGGACCUCAGAAUUCUCAGAUCCAAUCCCCAAAAUGUUACAGAUGGGGAAAGUGAAUUCCUGAGAGGUCAUACAGAUGAUCGGGAGCAGAGCUGCCACUGUGUAUGGGGUGACAUUCUCACAGAUACUUGGUUAAACAGAUAAUUCACUCCCUAUGUUUCACUUUCAAAUGUAUCAAAUUAUCAAGAUUGCUUGAUCAGCCCUUGGCUUUGCACUCCGUAGACUGGUCAAAGAAAAUGUGAGCAGUCUUUCAUCUAUGACUUGACUAAGCCAGAAGGGCAAAUGAAUGAGGGAAAGAAAUCAUAUCCAUAACUUCACUUUGCAGCUGUAUUUAUCUGGUGGCUCAGUUUGUCCGUUCAAGUGGAAAAAGGACCAUGGGGAGGGGAGUGGGGGACUCUAAGGACAAAUUACAAUGGGCAUUCUGAAAAGACAGUAACUUUUUCUUUUUCUAUGGCAUUUAAAACCCAGACUUGAAUUCCCUAUUGAAUUAAAACACCCACUAACCCACGAAGAUCAGGCAAAAUUUUAACCGUGUAAUGUGGAAUGCUGAUGGCUUUUUCAGGGAGGAGAAACUGCCAGGCUCCAGAAUUGGAUCUGAGGAGGGGCCUGGGAAGAGCAGUUUGCCAUAUUGAAGUCUUGAGGGACCUGGAGAGGGGACUCUUAGUGCUGAUGAGACUUCCCUUCCCCACAACUCCUCCUCCUCCAGGAAGCCCUGGGAGGGCACAGAGAGGACGUGGGAGUUGGGAGGGUGGAAGCUUAGGGGCUUCCACCAAACUGGAAACCUUUAGAUAAGGUUUGACAACCUGUGGAUCACAGUGGGGGCCCUUGAGAGAGUGGCCUAGAAAGGACCAAAGAGAGCUGGAAGGAGGCCCAGGGAGGCUGUGAGGCUUGGCUGCAGAAGGGUGGAUGCACAGGCCCAGCUGUAGAGGAGUAGCCGAGUGGGUCCAGGGCUGGCUCUGUGCUUUGCCAGCCAUGUGACCGCAGUCUACAAUGUAACCUUUCUAAGCCUUGGUUUUCUCCUCUGUAUCAUGAGUAUAAUAGUAAUACAUGUCACAUAGAAUUGUUGACAGAAUUAAAUGUAUCUAAAGUGUUAACCUGGGAUCUGAUACUGGGGAAGAUUUGUUAAUCAUCAUCAUCAUCACUGCAACAAGACUUGAACUCCGAACAUGUGACUCUUGAUACCUGGGAAGCAAAGCUCUCAAAUAAAAAUGGGUUUCUCUUAAGUCUGUAUUCACUCUAGGGAGCAGGC